UUCUAUUUAAAGCUCUCAUAGGAUAACUUAAGUCAUUAUGAUCAUCAAAUGAACUAAUAUUCGAAUCAUUGGGUAAUUAAAUUCCUUUGUAAAAACAAUCAUAUACAAAUUAAUUUUUAUUGGGAAUUUUGUUAGAACUAAUAACAACAGCAUAAUCGAGCCUUUCUUCAAGGGAGAAAUUUGAAACUAUGCCCUAAACAUAUAACCAAUUACAUAAUAAAUAAAAGAACAAAUUACGUAAAAUAUAGGAAAUAAGUCUAUCUCCGGUGAAGAUAGAGUUCCCUCCAAAUGUGGUCGACCUUCGAACAAUAUUGUUGAAUAUGGGAAGAGAUAUGACUUGAAAGUUGAAGAAUUCAACCUAUAGAUACUUAAAAAAAAACCUCUUCAAGUUGUUAUAGAAAACAAUUGUUGGUU
rnacentral:lncRNA from 1 species